UGAAGUGUGGAGCUGAUGAGCUUUGAUUUCUGUUUUCUGUAGAGUUUCCAGUCUCUCUCAGCUCUUCCUGAAUCUACAGACGUAAAUGAAGAUCCCUUCAGUUCUCUCUCCUCUUUUGAUGACGUGAGAGAAUUUGUCCAUCAGCUGAGAGACAAACUGGAGGAUUUCUGCAAAGAGGUGCUCAAGCAGAUCUCUGACAGAGUCACUUUCACCAACUUUGUUCCCAGGACCAGGAACGACUUCCUACAAUAUUCCCAUCAGUUCACUCUGGAUCUGAACACAGUGAAUAGAAGCCUUGAUCUGUCUGAGAGGAACAGAGUGAUUACUAACAUUCUCAGAGAGCAGUCGUAUCCUGAUCAUCCAGACAGAUUUGAUCAUUGGCAGAUGUUGUGUAGAGAGAGUGUGUGUGGACGCUGUUACUGGGAGAUUGAGUGGAGUGGGUUGUUUGGUGUGUCUAUAUCAGUGUCAUAUGAGAGCAUCCGAAGGAAGGGAGAGGAUAGUGAAUGUGUGUUUGGAUGUAAUGAUCAGUCCUGGAGUUU